GCCUAUGAUGACAUCUAUAUAGCAACGAAGAUGCUAGUCUUAUGACUUAGCUUCAAUGCUGAUAAAUUCCACUGACUAGGACGGUCUGAGGC